AAAAAGACAAACCCUGGUUUCUAUGUCCAACGUUUGACCGUCCGUCUUAUUUAAAAAAAAUUAAAAGACAAGUCAUGCAUAAAGUAUUAAUCAUGUUUUAUCAUCUAAUAACAAUGAAAAUACUAAUUAUAAAAAAAAAUCAUAUAAGACGGACAGUCAAACGUUUGACACGGAAAUCCAGUGUUUGUCUUUUU
rnacentral:pre_miRNA from 1 species